AACCCUAGUCAAUAGAUUCACGGCGUAAAACGUGUUUAAGGAAUACUUUUAUAAAGUCAAACUCUAGCUACGCCGUAAAAAGCUAUAGCUACUGUAAGCUCUAACGCGAAAGUAACUUUAAGAUACCUGAAUACACGACAGCUAAGGCUCAAACUGGGAUUAGAUACCCCACUAUGCUUAGCCCUAAACCUAAAGAGUCCUCCUAACAAGACUCUUCGCCAGAGUACUACUAGCCAAAGCUUAAAACUCAAGGGACUUGGCGGUGCUUCAUAUCCUUCUAGAGGAGCCUGUUCUAUAAUCGAUAAACCCCGAUCAACCUCACCAACCCUUGUCAACU
rnacentral:rRNA from 1 species